UGUGUGUUUGUGUGUGUGUGUGUGUGUGUGUGUGUGUGUGUGUGGUUGGGGGUUCCCUCCCGGGGCCAGUCCCAGCCAAGCCCAC
rnacentral:miRNA from 10 species